rnacentral:rRNA from 1 species
AGUGUGUUUUCCUCUGCUCAGGACGAACGCUGGCGGCGUGCCUAAUACAUGCAAGUCGAGCGGACAGAUGGGAGCUUGCUCCCUGAUGUUAGCGGCGGACGGGUGAGUAACACGUGGGUAACCUGCCUGUAAGACUGGGAUAACUCCGGGAAACCGGGGCUAAUACCGGAUGGUUGUUUGAACCGCAUGGUUCAGACAUAAAAGGUGGCUUCGGCUACCACUUACAGAUGGACCCGCGGCGCAUUAGCUAGUUGGUGAGGUAACGGCUCACCAAGGCGACGAUGCGUAGCCGACCUGAGAGGGUGAUCGGCCACACUGGGACUGAGACACGGCCCAGACUCCUACGGGAGGCAGCAGUAGGGAAUCUUCCGCAAUGGACGAAAGUCUGACGGAGCAACGCCGCGUGAGUGAUGAAGGUUUUCGGAUCGUAAAGCUCUGUUGUUAGGGAAGAACAAGUGCCGUUCAAAUAGGGCGGCACCUUGACGGUACCUAACCAGAAAGCCACGGCUAACUACGUGCCAGCAGCCGCGGUAAUACGUAGGUGGCAAGCGUUGUCCGGAAUUAUUGGGCGUAAAGGGCUCGCAGGCGGUUUCUUAAGUCUGAUGUGAAAGCCCCCGGCUCAACCGGGGAGGGUCAUUGGAAACUGGGGAACUUGAGUGCAGAAGAGGAGAGUGGAAUUCCACGUGUAGCGGUGAAAUGCGUAGAGAUGUGGAGGAACACCAGUGGCGAAGGCGACUCUCUGGUCUGUAACUGACGCUGAGGAGCGAAAGCGUGGGGAGCGAACAGGAUUAGAUACCCUGGUAGUCCACGCCGUAAACGAUGAGUGCUAAGUGUUAGGGGGUUUCCGCCC